UUGACUAGAAAUCAAUUGGGCUCUGCCCGCACAGGUUCGAAUCCUGUCCGCUGCG
rnacentral:tRNA from 1 species